rfam:Streptococcus sp. DD12 genomic scaffold scaffold00001, whole genome shotgun sequence.
AUUCUGGUGCAACCGCACGACCAUCGUUUCUAAGUAGCGCAAGCUCACGAUGCUAGGCGAGUCUUCACUGAGGA